rnacentral:rRNA from 1 species
UACGUAGGGUGCGAGCGUUGUCCGGAAUUAUUGGGCGUAAAGAGCUCGUAGGCGGUCUGUCGCGUCGAUCGUGAAAACUUGGGGCUUAACCCUGAGCUUGCGGUCGAUACGGGCAUGACUGGAGUUCGGCAGGGGAGACUGGAAUUCCUGGUGUAGCGGUGAAAUGCGCAGAUAUCAGGAGGAACACCGGUGGCGAAGGCGGCUCUCUGGGACGGUACUGACGCUAAGACGCGAAAGCGUGGGGAGCGAACAGG